rnacentral:lncRNA from 7 species
ACAAAACCAACAAACAGAAAUGAAACCAAAAGCAUUUUAACAAGUGCUUGUAUUGGUAGCAAGAGAUGUAACUAGGAGAAGUCACUAGGCCAGCAAUCUGAUCAAGCAUUGCUAUUUUAUUCCACUGAAAUUUCAAUGUGUCUGCACAGGCAAAGGCUUGAAAACUGAACACCCUCUGUGGCAUUUCUGCCCCCAGCUCACAUGGACACUUGUGGGAGCUGAGCGCCUGCUGCUCUGCAGGCCUGGUGUGCUGAAAGAGAAGAAUAAUGUGCCAGACUUCAAAGGAUAACAGUGUUGAGAGGUACAGUUUGGGCUGGUCCCCUUAUAGGCACUACAGACCUUUAACUUCUGCUGUGAGGAUGAGCAACGACAAAGGUACACAUCUGGAUGCAGAGUUGUUAAGGACCACUCCAGAUGGGGUUGCAGAUGGAAGGGAAACACUCAGAUACACCAGGCAUUAACUCUCCAAAGCAAGAAUAGUUUAAUAUUGAAGCUCAAGUUGUUAUUUUCAAGGGACAGAAAAGGGGAAAAGGAAAGGGAGAAGAGAGAAGUGACAAAGCAUGAUGACCGAAGACAACAGGAUUUCAUAGACUCAGAAACACUUGGCUACACGGGUCUGUGACACAGCCACCGAAUGUCCCGCAGAGCCCAGAGGACGCCAGGCCGUGCUGUGCCAGGAGGCUGGGGAAGUCAUUCAGUGCUCAGAGCAGGGCACCUCACGUGCGUCAGCUACAAUGAUCCCUUUCGGUGGCAUUUCUCAGCUCGUGCUCAUCCUGGUACUUCACCACACCUUGGAGAAACUGCUCAACCAGAGGCUACAAUAACUAUUCUGAAAUUGUGCGUGUGUUCAUCGGGGAAGGGGGUGCAGCAUAAGGUAAUUUUACUUAGGAAAUUGCAUUAUAAAGCACCAUAUGCACCAGCUUAAAACCGGGCAAGGAAUUGCAGGGCCCUGAAAAACCAUCUGCAGGUUCUGUAGCUUACCCUGACAAUAUGCACCGCCCUCAAGAUGAAAGUCUAUAGUACAGAGAAUACACCUUUUGCUUUAUGGCUCAACCUUGAUUUUCGUCUUUUAAACAUUGUUUCAUGUACUAGACCUCAGCAGGUAAAUAAAACACAAACAGGG